rnacentral:rRNA from 1 species
AGUGAACGCUGGCGGUAGGCCUAACACAUGCAAGUCGAACGGCAGCACAGUAAGAGCUUGCUCUUACGGGUGGCGAGUGGCGGACGGGUUAGGAAUACAUCGGAAUCUACUUUUUCGUGGGGGAUAACGUAGGGAAACUUACGCUAAUACCGCAUACGACCUACGGGUGAAAGCAGGGGAUCUUCGGACCUUGCGCGAUUGCAUGAGCCGAUGUCGGAUUAGCUAGUUGGCGGGGUAAAGGCCCACCAAGGCGACGAUCCGUAGCUGGUCUGAGAGGAUGAGCAGCCACAAUGGAACUGAGACGCGGUCCAGAAUCCUACGAGAGGCAGCAGUGGGGAAUAUUGGACAAUGGGCGCAAGCCUGAUACAGCCAGACAGCGUGGGUGAAGAAGGCCGUCGGGGUGUAAAGCCCUUUUGUUGGGAAAGAAGAGCAGCAGGGUAAGACCCCGCUGUUCUGACGGUACCCAAAGAAUAAGCACCGGCUAACUUCGU